GCGUACGCCGUGGCGGAGGCGGCGGUACGACGGAGGGGGCGAGCGUGGGUGGGAAUCUUGGGGCGUAAAGGGCGCGUAGGCGGCCGAUCAAGUCGGGGAUGAAAUGCCUCGGCUCAACCGGGGAACUGCAUGCGACACUGUUCGGCUAGAGUCCGGGAGGGGAUGGUGGAAUUCCCAGUGUAGCGGUGAAAUGCGUAGAUAUUGGGAAGAACACCGGUGGCGAAGGCGGCCAUCUGGACCGGCACUGACGCUGAGGCGCGAAAGCCAGGGGAGCGAAUGGGAUUAGAUACCCCAGUAGUC
rnacentral:rRNA from 1 species